rnacentral:tRNA from 1 species
GGGCUGGGGCUCAGUGGUAGAGCACUUGCCUAGCAUGUGUGAGGCCCUGGGUUCCAUCCUCAGCACCACA